CCAUCGUCAUUGCGUGAAUCAGCCUUAUUCACUCGAUAUAUAAUUGGUGAAACAAGAAUACAAUUACAUCUUUAAGCACACCAUUCAAAAGAUUGAAGUUUCUUCAACAUAAUGUGAUAUAUACUAUAAAAGCGCGCCGUACGGACUAAAAUAAGCAUGUGAGGUCUUCGUAAAAUAUGUUUUCAAGGCAGUUUUGAAAUCCAAUAUGGCAGCACCUGUGUGAGGUGCCGUUCGUAAGCGUAGCGGAGCCACCAUCUUUCCCAGCACUUAUUAGAACAAUGUUAGUGUAUAUAUGUAACGCUUAUUGAUCUUACUCAAGAUUGCAGUUAUAAUCAGCACAAUAAAACAACUUUUUCUUGCCUACAUUAGUGAAUGUACGAAACUUCUUAUUCCCGGGGUCAUGGUUUGAACUGAAAUUCAUUUUUACCUUGUAAUCGGUGGUUUUAUCCUUUCUGCCACACAACUGAAACUCCACAGUGCUUAUUUGAUUGUAAUUAUACAUGUUUUGGUCUUAAUUCACUCCAAAUUGCACUUGAACUACGUUGCGGUUAAUGGUUCCUAAGCUCUCACUACACAAACACAGUUGCGGGCAGCACACGAGUACACGGUUUAUGAGGUGCAAAGCUUUACUCCUUUAAUUUUUUAAGUUACACAUUAUUUUGUUUAACUUUACUUUGUUACUUCAAAAUGUUUAUUUAAUUCAUGUCUAUUAUCCCUUUUUUUGCAACCAAAUUAACCCUGAAAAAUUACAAAUAUUUUUAAAGUAGAUACGAGCAGACGACAAAAUGACUCAUCGUUGCCAAUCUAGUGGAGCUUCACACAUACGCCGAUGCAUUUACAAACUUUUUUAUGAAUUCUAGUUGUCAUAGUAAUGCAAUAAUGAUCAGAUUGCUCUAAUAUGUAUAUAGUAUACUACAAAUCGAUAUGCUAAUUUCACUUAUUUCCCCAGGUUUGUGUAAGUCUUAUACCUAGUUUGGAGGGUAAACACAUACCAAUUGACAACACUGAUAAACAAUAGAAGAGUGUGAAGAACGCCGUUGGUACUGUUCACCGCAAAACUCUUGAUAUUUGAGUCAGGAAUUUAGUUACUUUUUCAACAACAAAUAUUUUCAAAUUAGUAAUCAUGAAUAUGUAAAAAAUUUAUGCAGUUCAUGACCUGCAUUUAACUAUUUAUUAAAAUAAUUAUCUAGUACACGCUUCUUCUUCUACUUUUUCGGAGGGUGGCUUCACAAGCGGUGGAAACUGGAUGCGCAAGUCCAGUCGGUUGUUUCCCCUAUUUCGUAAUUUAGGAGAAAACACUUACUUUGAGAGGAACAUAGAGGUCUUGUUGUGCUGCCAGGAUGGGCCUCAACUCUUGACUGAUGUCACGGCAGUGAAUUCAAGUACUUUUUCUUGGGAAGGUGGCUGCAUUCCAGGAUCGGUGGACGCUAUGUCGCCGCUCGGUCAUUUACCCUGUGGAAUCACAACUCAAUAGUAGACACAAUCUUUAUAUCCUACAAUUUGUGGGACCACAGUGAGAAAGUGAAACACUACAAGGACUUUUAUUUCAUUAAUUGUUCUCAUUCAAAUUUACAAAGUUUUUGGAAGGUUUUCAAACUACUGUACUAAUAGCUACCAGCACUUUGAUAAGGACCUGGUAUCCAAUGUUAGAUGGACCCUUGGUCACACUGGAGCAGAAAUUGAAAUAAGUACGUGUAAUGUUUGAAGCAAACCUAAGCAUUUUCAACUAGUCACAGAUUCAUGCUAGAAAGAAAGGACUUUGUGGCUUAGGUGGAAGAGACCAUAAAUCUGGAUAGUUUUAGGAUGUUUGAACUCUGAACAUACAUCUGCCUCUCAAACUAUUGUGGUAGUAGCAUCACUUUUCAGAGUUGAUCAAGAUUCAUGAGGACACCAGGUUGGUUGGCAGUGCGUGUGGCCUGUCCUGUACUGUUAUCAAGAGAUCUAAUAUGGAUGCACAAGGUUCCCAGAAUAACUUGUUUCAGGUUGGAAGGUGGGGGAGCACAUCUACAGAAACUCCUGAUGACAUCUAGAACUCCUGGCUUCAGGUUGGAUAGCACAUCUACAACUACUCCUGAUGACAUUCUAGAACUCCUGGCUUCAGAUUGGAAGGUUGGGUAGCACAUCUAGAAGAACUCCUUCAGGUUGGGGAGCAUAUCUACAAGAACUCCUGUAGACAUCUCGAACAACUCCUGGCUUCGAGGAGGUGGUAGUUGGAUAUCAGGAACUUAGUAGUUGGAGAGCUUCUUCAUUCCCCCCACCCCCCAAGAUACUUGGAUGCCACGUUGGAAAGUUGGGGAGCACAUCUACAAGAACUCUUGGAGACAUCUAGAAGAACUCCUGGCUUCAGGGAGGUGGAGUUUUCAAGACAAACUCCUCCAUAUCAAUGUACUGAAUUUGAAAGCAGCCUUCCUACAUUUCAGGAACUUCAAGAAAGGAUGAUGGGUUACUCUGUAGUCCUGGUGUCUAAUUAUAUCCGUGACUCCAGUCUUCUAAGAUGCAAGUGGUCAAUUCCUGUAUAAGAAAGGUUAUGCCCCUUCAUCGAUGAAUUUCCUGCAAUAAAAGUUCUGUUAGUAGCACUUUUCUUUCACA